rnacentral:rRNA from 1 species
GAUGAACGCUGGCGGCGUGCCUAAUACAUGCAAGUCGAGCGAACAGACGAGGAGCUUGCUCCUCUGACGUUAGCGGCGGACGGGUGAGUAACACGUGGAUAACCUACCUAUAAGACUGGGAUAACUUCGGGAAACCGGAGCUAAUACCGGAUAAUAUAUUGAACCGCAUGGUUCAAUAGUGAAAGACGGUUUUGCUGUCACUUAUAGAUGGAUCCGCGCCGCAUUAGCUAGGUGGUAAGGUAACGGCUUACCAAGGCAACGAUGCGUAGCCGACCUGAGAGGGGUGAUGCCCCCCACGGCAAUUGAGCACCGUCCCAGCCCCCCAGGGGGGGCACCGUUAGGGAUAUUUCCCCAUUGGCGGAAACCCUGCCGCAGCACCGCGGCGUGAGUGAUGAAGUCUUUCGGUUCUUAAACCCUUUUUUUUAGGGAAAAACAAAGGUGUAAUUAACCUUGCACGCCUUGCCGUUCCCAAUCAGAAAGCCACGGCUAACUACGUG